rnacentral:ncRNA from 1 species
AAAUUAACAGGGGCUAAGAUCGGUCAGUGAGACGAUGGGGGAUAAGCUUUAUCGUCGAGAGGGAAACAGCCCGAAUCACCAGCUAAGGCCCCUAAAUGACCGCUUGGUGAUAAAGGAGGUGGGGGUGCAAAGACAGCCAGGAGGUUUGCCUAGAAGCAGCCACCCUUUAAAGAGUAGGAGUGGAUAACGAGCUAGCUCGGCUCGGCUCGGUCUGGCUCGUUAAGAUAACGAGCUGGCUCGGCUCGGUUCGUUAUUGUAACGAGCUA